UCCUGGUCCAAGUGCAGUGGUAUUUACAACUGAUUUAUACAACCAGUUACUGAUUUCUUUGUUCCUUCUACAUUCCCACUGCUUCACUUGACUAGCCUAAA
ensembl:misc_RNA Y_RNA Y RNA